CCCUUAGAUGUUCUGGGCCGCACGCGCGCUACACUGAUGCAUUCAACGAGUUUUUCCUGGUCCGAGAGGAAUGGGUAACCUUUUGAAAGUGCAUCGUGCUAGGGAUAGACUAUUGCAAUUAUUGGUCUUCAACGAGGAAUUCCUAGUAGACGUAGUUCAUCAGACUGCAUCGAUUACGUCCCUGCCCUUUGUACACACCGCCCGUCGCUCCUACCGAUUGGAUGAUCCGGUGAGCUAUUCGGACCUUCGCUUCGUCGAUUUUCGGCUUUGCGAGGGAAAGUCCCGCGAACCUUAUCAUCUAGAGGAAGGAGAAGUCGUAACA
rnacentral:rRNA from 1 species